ensembl:lncRNA
GGAUGAUGGCAGAGCUGUAUUCCAAAAAAAUGUACUUUUGAGAGUGUUCCUGUUAGGAAAAUAUUCUUUUGCAAAUAUUUUCCCCCUCCUAAGUGAGUCCUGAAAACAAAGGUUCCAAGCUGAACUGGCUGGAGGCCACCCUAUAUUAUCAAUAUGUGUAUAUUCAUGGGAGAGAGGACAUUGCAAUAAUUUACCUCUGAUUUCUGGCACAGUAGGCACAAAUGUGCCCCUGAAAAUGGGCUUGAAAGCUCAGUUUGUCUGCUCUUCUCAAAGAGGAUUUUUCUUUCUGUUUUAGCCUGAAGUCAGGGCAGUUCCUUCUCACAAUAUAGAAAACAAGAACAGCUCUCUUCUCAUCCCAGUCUGUCUCCCGGUGGUGGAUGACAAACCGUGCCAGAUCAUCAGCUGUGGCAGAGACCUCCCCAUCCCACAGGCAUUUGCAUCAUUAAGAUAACAAGUCACACAGCUAGAUGUGAGCACAAACACAUACAUGCAUACAGAAGAAAUCUCAGCAAAGUCAAGGAUGUUUAAACUUUUGUUUAAGUUUGGCCAAAUAUCAAAGAGUUUGAAAAAAAUGCAAAUGAAGGAAAUCCAUAACCAAACCUAAGCCCCAGGCUCCUGAAGUCUUUGAGCUGAAGUUCUCAACCUUCAUAUAAGUACUUGGAUGUUUCCUAUCUAAAAUCAAAUUGCUCCCAUCAAAUCCCUCCCAUCCCACCUGUCUAGACAAGGCUUGUACAGCACAAACAUAUGUUGUCCUAUACAUACAUGCUGUUCUGUUCCCUCACAUGCACACAAAUUCUUACAUCUGGUUUUUACAUCUCUGCCAUACUGGCCAGGUCACUUCUACUUGCUAUUUUCAAUGGCUAUGUGCCUACAUACUGAAUCACUCACAAUGCAAUCAGGUAGAAAGCAGAAAAUUCUCUGAAUAAAAUGGAAGAGCUUCCCUGAACAGUGUCCAGCCCUCCACUCUUCAGUUUUCCUUACUAUAUAUUUAUCUAUUCACCUGUUACUGGACAUGAAUAUAUCAUUGUGCCGAGUAAAAAUAUUCUUUUUCUUUUUUAUUUUUAUCUAAGUUUUCUACUCAAGUUUUAAGUUUGGGGAGCUGAAGAUUGUUUUGGGUCUCAGAAAGGAGCCCUAGUUUUACACUGAGCUUUAUAGUGAGCAGUACUUAUGAGGAUGAAAUGGCAUUUGGAAAGGAGGAACCAAAAUCCAAAGAAAUCAUUCACAGAAAGGUGAUCACACAAAGUUGUUUUGAUGUUUGUUCAAUAUUUCCCAAUUAUUUUCACCUGAGGAAAUGUAAGAGUAAGAGGACACAGUUUUAUGGCAUAUGAGUAAGGGUCUUCUGUCCUUCAAAAAUGCUGAGUUGAUGCGCAAACUGACACUGGUUCAGUCCCUGUUUAGCAUUCUAUUUUUGUCUGAAGCUACACAAUUAAACAGUAUUUCUGUGUAUUCAGAGAAUUCUGUUCCUGUUCACUGGAAACCUAAGCUUCUGUCUUCCAGAAAGAAAUCACUUUUAGCCGAAAUGAUACAUGAGAAAGAACUUGACCUCUGUACAAAUAUCCUUGUCUCCAUCUAGCUUCCAUAAAGCUAGUGGAAAGCUCCUAAGAAGAGCUGGGUUGGAUACUCUUGUACAUAAACCAGGAUAUAUAGCCCCAUAACUUUUUCUCAACAUGUCUUAUUUAUUCAGUGUAUUCCAUUGUCUCUUUCCAUGGGGACCUUUGCAAUCUCCUCUGUCAAUAAUGCCAGUCAUCAAAUCCCAAUGGCCAAAUUGCUACAGUCAUAAUUGUCACCUCUUUUUUUUUUUUUUUUUUGCUUUGCCGUGCUUUCUCAUCUGCCAGCAUCCACAUAUUUAAGAUGUAGUAGCCUACUGAAACAACCAGGUAACAUGCAGAGAAUAACAAAGUUCUUUUUUUGCUUGUCUUGUUUCCACUUCUAUUCUAUUAGACUCUCUCUUUUUUUUUUUUCUUUUUAAUUUGACUGCUUUGCCUACAUUAAACCCCAAUGAUGGAGCAAGGUGUUAUUCCAGUGGGGCAGAAUCCAGCACAGACUGUGAUCCCUUUAGGCAAUGAAUUGCUUUUCUCUUUUUAUGUUGAAGUGCCCAGCAUAUUUUGAAGGAAGAGUUUAGAAUAAUGACUAUUGAUGCUGCUACCACACAGGGUAAGACAAAUUAUCAUCUGUGUCUUGCAAUUAUUUUUUCCCACAUUGAAAAGAUAUAAACAAGAGCAAGGGAUGUGUAUGUAUGUCGUGUGGUACGAUAACUGCACAAUCAAUUACUUGUGCCUUGCAUUUCAAAUGAUAGGCAAUUGCUGCACACCCACUCCUUUCUGUCUGAUUGCUUAAUUCAUUUACUUAAUUCAUUUAGGCAGAAGAGUCCUUGAUGGUUCCGGCUGUCUGGCUUUCUAGGGUAGAGCUGUGGGCAAUCAAUUAACUCCACCAGUCCGAAAAGCAGAAAUGCAUGCAAGCAGACAUCAAAUCCUGCUUACAAGCAAUGCAAACUGAAUACAGCAACUUUGGAGAUUAAUGUUCCUGGACCAGAAGGGACACCAGCAGUGUGUUACUAUCUGGCAGAUCUACAGCAUAGUACAUGGAGAUGCUACCAGCCCCACCCAAAAUUACAUGUUAUGUAACCAAGUGAGAUGCAUUAAGAUCAUCUCCAACAUCGCCAUCUCCUGACUUUGAAUGAUAGUGCAUGUUGCUUCUGUGACAAUUGGUAUUCAAGAAAUGAAAAAAUGGCACUCAAGAUUUCUGUUCUGAAUUAAAAAAAAUAAUAAUAAUCAAUUUUGCACUGAAUUUUUCUUCUUUGUAUUCUGAAAUGUUUUGUAGCUGAUUAUCAAAUAAUUUAUCUUUGAUUUUGUAGUUAUUGUUUGCGUAAGACCCCAUUAACUCUUACAGGGUAGGUGGGCAACUGAAAACGUCAGCAUAUAUAGAAGAAAUUCAAGAACUUCAAGCACUGUAAGCUGUAGAGAGAGUUCCAAGUAACUCUUCAGCAACCUCUGCAAAGUUCCUCUCUUCUGGAAAAUGAAUACUAACCCAGGACAAGAGAAGACUGACGCCUGAUCAAGCCGUGGAAAUCUCCCUGAUGACUUCACUGGGCUCUUGCAUGUACAUAUAGAGCAGUCAUCUCCAUCCACUUACAGUCCUGCACUGAUGAUGUUCACUUGAACUGUGAAAUGGUUAGCAUUUAAAAGUUGUCCCUUCUACGUGAAUCCUGCUGUGCCUCACGUUUUAUAAUGCCGAGUGUUGUUAAAUGUUUGAGCAAUAUUGCAAUUGUUUCUAUUUGUUGAAUUUAUAUGAAAGCUAUUAUCUGUGACUUGUUAUUAUGCUAUGUGAAGAGAUUCCAACCCUUUUUUCUCCCCUCUAAUCCGUACCACCAAUAAGAAAAGGAACAUAAAUAAAUAAAUACAUGUGGAAA